AUUGCACGCUGGCGGCAGGCCUAACACAUGCAAGUCGAACGAGUGGCAGACGGGUGAGUAAUGUCUGGGAAACUGCCUGAUGGAGGGGGAUAACUACUGGAAACGGUAGCGAAUACCGCAUACCAUCGGAGGUGACCAGAUGGGAUUAGCUAGUAGGUGGGGUAAAGGCUCACCUAGGCGACGAUCCCUAGCUGGUAUGAGAGGAUGAACCGCCACACUGGAACUGGGAAACGGUCCAGGCUCCUACGGGAGGCAGCAGUGGGGAAUAUUGCACAAGGGGCGCAAGCCUGAUGCAGCCAUGCCGCGUGUAUGAAGAAGGCCUUCGGGUUGUAAAGUACUUUCAGCGGGGAGGCGUUACCCGCAGAAGAAGUACCGGCUAACUCCGUGCCAGCAGCCGCGGUAAUAC
rnacentral:rRNA from 1 species